rnacentral:rRNA from 1 species
UUAUAUUCUGUAGCAAGGUUAACCGUAUAGGGGAGCCGGAGGGAAACCGAGUCUUAACCGGGCGUUAAGUUGCAGGGUAUAGACCCGAAACCCGGUGAUCUAGCCAUGGGCAGGUUGAAGGUUGGGUAACACUAACUGGAGGACCGAACCGACUAAUGUUGAAAAAUUAGCGGAUGACCUGUGGCUGGGGGUGAAAGGCCAAUCAAACCGGGAGAUAGCUGGUUCUCCCCGAAAGCUAUUUAGGUAGCGCCUCGUGAAUUCAUCUCCGGGGGUAGAGCACUGUUUCGGCUAGGGGGCCAUCCCGGCUUACCAACCCGAUGCAAACUGCGAAUACCGGAGAAUGUUAUCACGGGAGACACACGGCGGGUGCUAACGUCCGUCGUGAAGAGGGAAACAACCCAGACCGCCAGCUAAGGUCCCAAAGUCAUGGUUAAGUGGGAAACGAUGUGGGAAGGCCCAGACAGCCAGGAUGUUGGCUUAGAAGCAGCCAUCAUUUAAAGAAAGCGUAAUAGCUCACUGGUCGAGUCGGCCUGCGCGGAAGAUGUAACGGGGCUAAACCAU